rnacentral:misc_RNA from 1 species
AAGUCGUAACAAGGUUUCCGUAGGUGAACCUGCGGAAGGAUCAUUACAGAGUUCAUGCCCUUCGGGGUAGACCUCCCACCCUUGAGUACUAUACUUUUGUUGCUUUGGCAGGCCGUCAGGUUUACGCCUGGCUACCGGCUCCGGCUGGUAAGUGUCUGCCAGAGGACCUAAACUCUGAAUUUUAUGUCGUCUGAGUACUAUAUAAUAGUUAAAA